rnacentral:tRNA from 1 species
UAAAAGUUAGUUUAAAAAAACAUUAAUUUGUCAAAUUAAAAAUAUAAAAAUUUAUACUUUUAA